UGAAUACGAGACGCUAAGGCGUCGAAGUAGUGUAUGUCAUACUUCCAAGAAAAGCUUACACUGUCAUAGAUAGAAAACGCCUGUACCAUAACCGACACAGGUGGGUAGGUAGAGUAUACUAAGGGGCGCGAGAUAACUCUCUCUAAGGAACUCGGCAAAAUAACUCCGUAACUUCGGGAGAAGGAGUGCCUUAUUCGUAAGGUUGCAAUAACAAGAUCCAAGCAACUGUUUAUCAAAAACACAGGUUUCCGCUAAGUCGUAAGACGAUGUAUGGGGGCUGACGCCUGCCCAGUGCCAGAAGGUUAAAGAAGUUGGUUAGCAAUUGCGAAGCUGAUAACUGAAGCCCUGGUGAACGGCGGCCGUAACGAUAACGGUCCUAAGGUAGCGAAAUUCCUUGUCGGGUAAGUUCCGACCCGCACGAAAGGCGUAAUGAUUUGGAUACUGUCUCGGAGAGGGGCUCGGUGAAAUAGACUUGUCUGUGAAGAUGCGGACUACCUGCACCAGGACAGAAAGACCCUAUGAAGCUUUACUGUAACUUGAAAUUGAAAUUGGACUUUAUUCGCGCAGUAUAGGUGGGAGGCGUUGAUUAUAAUCUUGUGGGAUUAUUGGAGCCAUCAGUGAGAUACCACUCUUGUAAUGUUAGAUUUCUAACUUUGAAUCAUUAUCUGGUCAAAGAACAGUUUCAGGCGGGCAGUUUGACUGGGGCGGUCGCCUCCUAAACGGUAACGGAGGCGUACAAAGGUUUCCUCUGAACGGUUAGAAAUCGUAUCUAGAGUGUAAAGGCAUAAGGAAGCUUGACUGUGAGACCUACAAGUCGAGCAGGGACGAAAGUCGGUCUUAGUGAUCUGACGGUACUGAGUGGAAAGGCCGUCACUCAACGGAUAAAAGUUACUCUAGGAUAACAGGCUGAUCUCCCCCAAGAGUUCACAUCGACGGGGAGGUUUGGCACCUCGAUGUCGGCUCAUCGCAUCCUGGGGCGGUAGUACGUCCCAAGGGUUGGGCUGUUCGCCCAUGAAAGCGGUACGCGAGCUGGGUUCAGAACGUCGUGAGACAGUUCGGUCCAUAUCCGGUGUAGGCGUUAGAAUAUUGAGAGGAGCCUUCUUUAGUACGAGAGGACCGAGAAGGACAUACCUCUGGUGUACCAGUUGUCGUGCCAACGGUAAACGCUGGGUAGCUAUGUAUGGAGUGGAUAACCGCUGAAAGCAUCUAAGUGGGAAGCCCACCUCAAGAUAAGUAUUCUCA
rnacentral:rRNA from 1 species